rnacentral:lncRNA from 1 species
CAGAACUUAAUAGCUAAGAGUAAGUGCAAAGUGAAAGGAGGAUUUGGGAGCCAUGACAAGUGGUGGUCAUGCCUAGCCACAAGGUAGGCUAGCACAUCCCUGACUACUUGUUUGGUUAAACAAGUUAGGAGCGGACCUUUGAAGGUCGGACCAAGGUCUGGACCGUGAUUAGGACACUACCAGACCCAAGUCCAAGGCUCAAACACAUAAAGGGGAAAGGGAACGGGGAACUGAUUGAGCGUUGGAUUCAAAGAACCCAGUUUAGAAACAUAGACAACAAUAUUAGAGUGUUGUCAUGCUUUGAACCAUAACUCACACAUAAAGGGGUAAAGGGUAAGGGAAUUCACAUAAGAAUGGUACUGAUAACAUUGCAGAAAAAGCAGUUGGGAAAAGCAUACCAGAACUGGAAUGUAAAACACAUAGUGGAUGAGCAAUAUUAAAAUAAGAUGGACAUACCAGUUGUAAAGUAACAGAAAUAGAAUAAUAGAGUAACAAUAGCAAGCAAACAUCAGAACCAACUAAGAAUGUCAGCAUAACACUCGAGGAUAUAAGAAGAACUUAAAGGUAUUUCAGAAAAAAGAAGUAGAAAACAGAAAUGGGUUGUAUGUUGAGAGAAGA